AAAAACCUCACAAGUCACUGGCCGAGCUAGCCAAGAUUUAUGGCCCUAUAUUGAGCCUAAAAUUAGGCGAGGUGACCACAGUAGUAGUUUCAUCUGCUCCCAUGGCCAAAUAUAUCCUGCAAGAUCACGAUUCAUCCUUCUAUAAUCGAAUGGUUAAGGAUGCAAUCUUUCCCCACCAACACAAUGAAUUCGGGAUGGUCCUCCUGCCUGUCUCAACAACCUGGAAAAACCUUCGAAAAUUAUGCAACUUACAUAUUUUCACUACUCAAAAACUCGAUGCCAACCAAGAACUCCGGCGUAAGAAAAUAAAAAAUCUUCUUUCCUAUGUUGAAGAAAAUUGCCGUGCGGGUAAAGCAAUAGAUAUUAGCCAAGUUGUUUUCAAUACUUCACUUAAUUUGUUGUCCAACACAAUUUUUUCUGUUGAUUUGGCCGAUGACACCACUGAGCGAAAGUUUAAGGAUACAGUUUCCAGUAUCCUGGUAGAAAUAGGAAAGCCUAACUUGUCCGACCAUUUUCCCCUGCUUAAAAGGCUUGACUUGCAGGGGAUAAGGAGUCGCAUGACAUUUUAUUUUGGCAAGAUGUUGGAGGUUUUUGAUGGCUUGAUUGAUCAACGAUUGAAGCAAAGACAGCAACAUGAUUACAAUAGUACUAGCAUCGAAUCUAAAGAUGUGCUAGGUACUCUUCUCGAUAUUAUCCAAGACAAGAGUGUGGAGAUCGAUAGAAAUUACAUGAAACAUUUGUUUUUGGUAAUAUUUCUUUAUUUCUCUUUCCUCCUUUUUGCUUGCACAAAUUUCAAGUGAUUUAACAGGGGUUUAUAUAACAGGAUUUGUUUGUUGCUGGGACUGACACCACUUCAAGCACACUGGAAUGGGCGAUGGCGGAGCUACUCCGCAGUCCGGAUGCUUUAUCAAAAGCAAGAUUAGAGUUAGAACAAACGAUUGGUAAAGGCAAAACAAUUGAGGAAUCAGACAUCACUCGGUUACCUUAUCUACAAGCAGUAGUCAAAGAAACCUUGAGGCUGCACCCAGCAGUUCCCUUGUUACUUCCUCGUAAAGCUUUAGCCGACGUAGAAAUUGCGGGCUUCAUAGUUCCAAAAGGAGCACAGGUUUUUGUUAAUGCGUGGGCAAUUGG
rnacentral:lncRNA from 1 species